GACGAACGCUGGCGGCGUGCUUAACACAUGCAAGUCGAACGAAGUGGCGAACGGGUGAGUAACGCGUAAUCAACCUGCCCUUCAGAGUGGGACAACAGUUGGAAACGACUGCUAAUACCGCAUACUGAAGGAGGGGAUUGCGUCUGAUUAGCUAGUAGGUGGGGUAACGGCGCACCUAGGCGACGAUCCCUAGCGGGUCGGAGAGGAUGACCAGCCACACUGGAACUGAGACACGGUCCAGACUCCUACGGGAGGCAGCAGUGGGGAAUCUGCCGCAAGGGACGAAAGUCUGACGGAGCAACGCCGCGUGAGUGAUGACGGCCUUCGGGUUGUAAAGCUCUGUUAAUCGGGACGCGGUACCGGAAUAGAAAGCCACGGCUAACUACGUGCCAGCAGCCGCGGUAAUAC
rnacentral:rRNA from 1 species